GAGACCACCACUUCCACCUGGUCCCCCUCCUUUUCAACAGGAUGGUGCUAGACUGCUUGCUCCUCAAAAGCCAUCAUAUGUCAAAUCAGCUGCUUCAACAGUUAUUAAGAGGCCUCUAGCUCAGCAUACACCAGAACUUACAUCUAUGGUCCCUGCAUCUGUGCGUGUGAGGAGAGAAUCUGCGCUCCCAAAACCCAAGCCAAAGUCAUCUACUGCGGUUACAAUCAACCAGCCUGCAGUAACUCCGCCUGUUGUCAAGCAUGAAUCUACAAGCACACCUGCACCAAAACCUCAAAGCAUUGAUGACUCGUAUACAGCAUUCUUGGAGGACAUGAAAGCUCUUGGUGCUCUCGAAGGAUGAAGUGACAUCAAAUAGGAGAGAGGAAGAGGAAACAAGUGGCUGUUGACAAUCUGAUGAGUUUGAUAUCUCUGUGACCAUGUCUUGUGCUACUCGAGUGUCCACAACUUUAUGGUGCUUUGAUGUAUCGACCAUCUCAUUCUUUCUUCGUGUGUAUGAUCUAUGAUUCAUCUGUGUUCUGAUUUUAUCUUCCUCAGCAUUUUGUCGCCUCUAAUGAGCAGUUGAUAUGCGUUAGUCCAGAGGAAGUUGGAAAACAUAUUGUAAGAUGGAUUAUUUCAAGGAUCUUUC
rnacentral:misc_RNA from 1 species